CCUACGGGAGGCAGCAGUGAGGAAUAUUGGUCAAUGGUCGGGAGACUGAACCAGCCAAGCCGCGUGAGGGAUGAAGGUACAGAGUAUCGUAAACCUCUUUUGUCAGGGAACAAAGGCGGGGACGUGUCCCCGGAUGAGUGUACCUGAAGCAAAAGCAUCGGCUAACUCCGUGCCAGCAGCCGCGGUAAUACGGAGGAUGCGAGCGUUAUCCGGAUUUAUUGGGUUUAAAGGGUGGGCAGGCGGUCUGUUAAGUCAGCGGUCAAAGCCCGGGGCUCAACCCCGGCCCGCCGUUGAAACUGGCAGUCUCGAGUUGGAGAGAAGUAUGCGGAAUGCGCGGUGUAGCGGUGAAAGGCAUAGAUAUCGCGCAGAACUCCGAUUGCGAAGGCAGCAUGCCGGCUCCACACUGACGCUGAGGCACGAAAGCGUGGGUAUCGAACAGGAUUAGAUACCCUUGUAGUC
rnacentral:rRNA from 1 species